CUGAGGAGCGAAAGCGUGGGGAGCGAACAGGAUUAGAUACCCUGGUAGUCCACGCCGUAAACGGUGGGUGCUAGUUGUGGGUCACAUUCCACGUGAUCCGUGACGAAGCUAACACAUUAAGCACCCCGCCUGGGGAGUACGGUCGCAAGACUAAAACUCAAAGGAAUUGACGGGGGCCCGCACAAGCGGCGGAGCAUGCGGAUUAAUUCGAUGCAACGCGAAGAACCUUACCAAGGCUUGACAUAUAGAGGAAAAGCGUAGAAAUACGCUCCCCGCAAGGUCUCUAUACAGGUGGUGCAUGGUUGUCGUCAGCUCGUGUCGUGAGAUGUUGGGUUAAGUCCCGCAACGAGCGCAACCCUCGUCCUAUGUUGCCAGCACGUAAUGGUGGGAACUCAUGGGAGACUGCCGGGGUCAACUCGGAGGAAGGUGGGGAUGACGUCAAAUCAUCAUGCCCCUUAUGUCUUGGGCUUCACGCAUGCUACAAUGGCCAGUACAAAGGGCUGCGAUACCGUAAGGUGGAGCGAAUCCCAUAAAGCUGGUCUCAGUUCGGAUUGAGGUCUGCAACUCGACCUCAUGAAGUCGGAGUCGCUAGUAAUCGUAGAUCAGCAACGCUACGGUGAAUACGUUCCCGGGCCUUGUACACACCGCCCGUCAAGUCACGAAAGUCGGUAACACACCGAAGCCGGUGGCCUAACCGUAAGGAAGGAGCCGUCGAAG
rnacentral:rRNA from 1 species